UACGUAGGGUGCAAGCGUUAAUCGGAAUUACUGGGCGUAAAGCGUGCGCAGGCGGUGAUGUAGGACAGGUGUGAAAUCCCCGGGCUUAACCUGGGAACUGCAUUUGUGACUGCAUCGCUGGAGUGCGGCAGAGGGGGAUGGAAUUCCGCGUGUAGCAGUGAAAUGCGUAGAUAUGCGGAGGAACACCGAUGGCGAAGGCAAUCCCCUGGGCCUGCACUGACGCUCAUGCACGAAAGCGUGGGGAGCAAACAGG
rnacentral:rRNA from 1 species